CACCGGAGGCGCGCUGCCACCCUGGUGUUGAAGCUCGAUUUUGCAAAGUCAUUCGACUCCAUUAAUUGGGUAAGCCUGCGCAACAUAAUGGAGGUGCGAGGUUGUCCGCCCCUCUGGUGCGAUUGGAUAGACGCCCUCUUCCACUCAUCGCGCUCGGCAGUCUUGCUCAACUUAGUGCCAGGGCACUGGUUCCAGGACAAAUGUGGCCUCCGGCAAGGGGAUCCCAUCUCCCCGUACCUCUUCCUCAUGGUGGCCGACAUUCUUCAGCGACUCAUU
rnacentral:rRNA from 1 species